UUUGGAGGCCCUCCGCUUUUCAUUUCUCAAAUCUCAUCCGCUCGCACGCUCCUCAUACGCUGCUCCUCUACUCAAAAGUUUCUCUUCUUCAGUGUCUUCACCUUGGCCGCCAACGUUCCUGUCUCUGUCGCCAUCGCUAUCAUCCUUUAGUGGUCUUAUUCGUUGAAGCCAACAAAGUCUAAAAAGAUGUUUCUACAGCCCGUGGAACCCUAAGCUUCGAAUAACGGCGCUCUCUGCUUCUCUUCGAGCUCUAAUAAGGUGAAAGUGUCGAUGCACUGUGGCAGUUGAAGCUGUUCUUAUAGGUCAGCAUGGGAUUUGAUAAUGAGUGCAUAUUAAACAUUCAAACUUUAGCUGGAGAGUACUUCUGCCCUGUCUGUCGCUUGCUUGUUUACCCAAAUGAGGCUCUACAGUCACAAUGCACUCAUUUAUACUGCAAGCCCUGUUUGACUUACAUUGUGAGUACUACACGGGCUUGCCCUUAUGAUGGCUACUUGGUGACUGAAGCAGAUUCCAAGCUGCUUGUAGAAUCAAAUAAAACUCUUGCUGAAACCAUUGGCAAAAUAGCAGUUCAUUGUCUCUACCACAGGAGUGGAUGCACAUGGCAGGGACCUUUAUCUGAGUGCACAUCUCAUUGUAGUGGAUGUGCAUUUGGCAAUUCUCCUGUUGUAUGCAACAGGUGUGGGAUCCAAAUUGUGCAUCGUCAAGUACAGGAACAUGCCCAAAAUUGUCCUGGCGUGCAGCCUCAGGUGCAGCAGGCAGAGGGUGCUCAGGAUACUUCAGCCGCUGGUGGAACUGAUACUGCCAAUCAGACUCAGGCUGCCACUCAGCCUGGUGUAACAGCUACCCAGGCCCAGACUACUCAAACUGCAGCAACUACUGCUUCUGGACAGGAUCCUAAUCAGCAAGCAAACCCGAAUCCUCAAUCACAAGCUUUAGUUCAGUCUGCUGUGCCAACUCCAGAACAGUGGUAUCAGCAACAACAACAGUAUCAACAAUACUACCAGCAGUAUCCCGGAUAUGAUCCCUAUCAACAGCAUUAUCAGCAGUACUACCCCUAUCAACAGCCGGGAGUUCCACAAUACCAUCAGCAGCACUUGCAAGCUCAUCCACCACAAGUGGCUGGUCAGAAUCAACCUCUGCUUCAGCCGCAAUCCCAACCACCACCUCAGACUCUCGUCCAGCCUCAAUCUCAACCACAUCCUCAGCCCACUGGACAGCCUCCAUCACAAACACAUGCUCAAGCUCCAGCAGUUGCUCAACUUCAAAACCAGGCACAAGUUAACCUGCAACAGCAGCCACAGACUGCAGUGCUGCCACAUUCUCAAAUUCAGUCACAGACCAAUCAACCAGCCCCAGGCCAAGCUCAUCCCCAUCCCCAGCCGUAUCCCCAAGCUCAUCCCCAUCCCACCCAACCUCAUCCACAGCAACAUGUGAUGGUGCCUCAAUAUCAACAGCCUCAUCACCAGAUGCAACAUUUACAGCCCCAACCUCAUUCAGCUCAUCAUCAAGCACCAGUCCAACAACAUUCCCAGCCACAUCCGUACCUAAAUCCUAAUGUCCAGCCUCAGAUGCAGCAUCCGCCAGCCCAUGAUGUCACGGGCCAUCAAUCAUAUCCUCAGCUUCACCAACAAAUGCAUCUAGUAGCCCCACAACAGCAUACAAUGCACAUGAACCCUCAAGGUGGGCCUCAUCCACAGCCGCAACAUUCUGGUCAAGCUCCAAGUCAAUUCCCUCAACAACAUCCUCCUAUGCGUCCACCCCCUUCUACUGCUUCAAUUCCAAAUCAGCAACAGGCUGCUUUGUUACCAUUGCCAGGUCAAGUCCAGAACAUCCAUCCUGCACAACAGCAGCCAGUUCAACAAUCUGGACACUUAAUCCACCAGCGCCCUCCUAUACAGCCAGGUCAACAGAUUAUGGCUCAGCAACAUGUGCAGCAGCAGCAGCAGCAGCCUUUUGUACCGCAAAGUUCAUUUCUGCAGCAACAAAUGCCUACCCCAUCUCCAUUACGGCCCCAGGUCCCUCCUCAUUCAUAUACACAACAUACUCAUGCCUAUCCACACCUGCAGCAGAAUGCAGCAUUCUCACAUGGUUCUCAAAAUGUUGCCGGAAGGCCUAUGGUGCCAAAUCAUGCAGUACAAUCACAGCCAUAUCCACAGUAUGCUGGUGGUGUUCAGGCCAGGCCUAUGCAUCCUGGUGCAAGCCAACCAUCUGCAAGUCUGAACAAUAUGCUCAGGAGUGAGAUUCAAGCACAAGUGUCUACUGAACAGCAGUCUGGGGCAACUUCAAGGUCAACAUUGUCUGUAAGGCAAGGUGAUUAUGCAUUUGAGAAAGGCAUGGGUGACCAAACAGUUGAAUUAUCUUCAGAGAAUGCUGCCAAAAAGGUAUCGAAUGAUUCAGAUCCAGCAUCAACAUCAGCUCUUGGAGUUGAUGCUAGUGAAGUAAAAAAUGUGAAAUCUGAAACUGAUAUCAAGUCCAAGGAUGAUUGUGAAUCUCAUGUCCUGGGAAAUGGAGGGCUUGUUAAGCGGAUGGUGAAGGAAGAGGGUGUGGAAAGUAAUUUGGAGAACUUUAAUGUCAGUAAAUCAGGUGAACUUGUAUCUGAGAUCAAGAAAGAUGUUUCUGAAGUAAGCCCAAGACAUUUGGGCAAUUUUGCUUUGGAAGAUAGAGAGAGAAAGGAUGAUCUUCUUUUGAAAAAUCCCCCAUUGCAUGAACCUGAACAAAUAGAAAAACUGAGUGGGAAAUUGGAGAAGGAUGCUAGUGCAAUUCAGCAGCCUUCAACGGCUGCUAAUGAAGCCUCACAAACUUUGACUAUGCCUUCAGCUCAUGUCUCAAGUAGUCCCGCUAAGAAUGUUAUCCCAAAAGGAGCCAUCUCUCAAGGUCCUGAAGUUGAUGGAUACAAAGGUCUUCCUCCACCCAGUCAGGUGCAUUCUGGGGGCUUUAUACAGUCUUCUCACCCAGGUGCAAUUGCUGAUCAGGGAAGGCAUUUUGGGUCUUCUUCUCUCCAACAAAGGCCACCUGGUGCUCCAUUGUUACAAACUCCUCCUUUUGUGCUUCCACAUCACCAACAUCCAGGAGGGCACCCUUCUGCUCAGUUUAGGCCACAAGGAUAUGGGCACAUUCCUGAGCAUUUGCAGGCCCCUGCAUCAAAGCUAUCUCUUGAAACCCCACCUGGUGGCAUCUUAGGCCCUGGCUCCACAUCAUCCUUUGGGAGGGGACCGGGGUAUUAUGAUUUUCCCCAGCGAAACUUUGAAUCGCUACCUGUUGUUUCUCAAGGGCCUCACGGUCAAGGGCAUGCACUCCCUACAAAUGCUGCAGCUUCGAGAGCGUCUCAAGGUGAAUCUGUUGGAGGGCCACCAUUUGGUAUGUUACCUCCUGGUGUGGUUGAUUCACGUGGUGGGAUGAUGGCUAGACCACAUGGCCCUGAAGGUCUGAUGGGUCAGCAGCGGCCGCCUAAUCCGAUGGAUGCUGAAUUGUUUAUAAAUCAUAGGCCAAGCUACAUGGAUAGUAGACGACCUGAUCCAAAUCUUCCUGGGUCUUUGGGACGGGGUUCAGUAGGUCAGCCUUCUGGUGUGAUGGGAAGUAAUGGUGCACCCGGUCUUGAUUCCUCAUCGACACUUGGGUUUCGAGAUGACAGGUCGAAGCUUUUCCCAGAUGAUCGUUUUAAUUCCUUUUUAGGCCGAGAAGCUGCAGAACGAGGAGAGUUUGAAGAUGGUCUCAAACAAUUCCCCAGGCCUUCUCAUUUGGAUGCAGAGCUUGGACCAAAGUUUGGGAAUUAUUCAUCAAGGCCUCGUGAGAUGGGACCCUAUGGCCUAAAUAGUGAUACUGGUUUCAAAUUGGGUCCUGGGGCUGGCAGUGCCCAUUCAGGAUUCUUGCCUUCAUAUGAUGGAGGAGAAAGACCCGUUGGUUUGCCAGAUUCUGGUCGUAAUCAUCCAGAUUUUCUUGGACCUGUUACUGGGUAUGCUCGACGACACAUGAAUGGUCUGACUCCUAGAAGUCCAAUUAGAGAAUACCAUGGUAUAUCAUCACGUGGUUUUGGAGGCAUUCCCGGCCAGUCAGGCCUAGAUGAUUUUGAUGGCAAGGAAUCACGUCGGUUUGGUGAUCCAAUUGGCAAUUCAUUCCAUGAAAGCAGGUUUCCUAUUCUGCCUGGUCAUUUGCAGAGGGGUGAGUUUGAGGGUCCUGGUAAGUUGCGAAUGGGUGAACAUUUGGGUCCACGUAACUUGCCAAGUCAUUUGCGAUUGGGAGAACCAAUUGGUUUUGGUGACUAUCCUGGUCAUGCACGGAUGGGAGAACUGCCUGGGCUGGGGGACUUUGAAUCCUUUGGUGCAGGCAACAGGCCAGGUCAUCCACGAUUUAGGAGCAAUUUUUCUCUUCAGGGAUUUCCAAAUGAUCGUGGAAUCAAUACAGGAGACACAGAGUCUUUUGGUAACCCGAGGAAGAGGAAGGCAGCUAGCACAGGAUGGUGCCGAAUCUGUAAAGUUGACUGCCAAACAGUUGGAGGCUUGGAACUGCACUCACAAACAAGGGAGCACCAGAAGAUGGCUAUGGAUAUGGUACGGACCAUCAAACAGAAUGCAAAGAAACAGAAAUUAUCAUCUAGUGACCCUUCCUCAGUUGAAGAUGCAAGCAAGUCUAAGAAUACCAGUUUGGAUGGCCAUGGGAAUAAGCAUUGACUGAUACGUUGAUUCCCUGUUUGCGGAGAUGGCUUUGGAACUGAAUUGCAGUGGCAAUUUACCAUUCAACCUGUCUUUUUUCGGCGAAGCAGACAACAAAUUGGCCAAAAGUUCAGUGGAAAGGUUUACUCCGUCUCCUUUUAUGGAUGUGGUAAGAAUGUGUUGGAUGGCAUAUUUUUUUAGUAGAAAAAGUUCGCUUCUUGGUAUUGAUUUUCCUGAAAUUGGUGACUUUUUGCGAGAUUGUUUUGUUUCCUUCUUGACGUACCGAUCAUGCUGUGUAGAACCGUGAAUGGUUUGAUAUUUUUUGUGAGUUUUAUAAAUGAAAUUUAACAGGUAGGAUAGGUGGAGGAAUUUGAGUGUGUUCCACUGGGAAUUGUAUUGAAUACUAGUUUAGGUUGCUAAAUUAAUUAUGCAUUAUGAUUAGUGCACUUAUGGUCAUUCAUUUUUCCUUAUCCUGAGAUAUGCAGAUAACAUGGUUUGGGCUGAUGGAUUGUGGAGUAUUUUACAUCUUUUUUAAAAGUAGGGUAUUGUAAGACCUAGGGGAAGACCUAGACACCUGCAAUAUAUUGUCAAAAAGGCUACGGUCAAGGUGAAGCUUCUCUAGAAUUGGUUAUAAAACCUAGCUUCACCUAGUUAAUGUGGGACUUAGUCCCUAUGACUUAACUUUUUAUCUUACCCACUUUAUGUGGGUUAUUCAUAUUCCCCAUGUGGGACUAAGGUAGUACAAAUUCUCCCUCCCUCUUAAAUUCUUGACAUAUUCAUCCAGACCAUGUCAUGCAGUGCUAGUAGUAUCACAUGAUUGGCCUUACUGACUAGAAAAAAUAAACGUGAUUGGCCUUACUAGGUGAGUGUGAUGCCAUAUGCAACAACCCAGGGAAAGUGCUUAUAAAGAUUAGUCAGUCUAAAGUCUCCCAAAAAUUGCUUAUAAAGCCCAAAUUCAUCUAAAAGUAGCCGAUGUGGGACAACACCCAUAACUACUUUAUAAUACUCACUCUGUUGGUUAUUUAUAUUCCCAAUGUGGGACCUUGUUACAGGUAUUGAGGUUGAAGGAUAAUUUGGACAUUUUAGUAGAAAUUGAAAUGUGUUACUUCUUCUAUAAUAAUCCUGGUGAUCAAGAAUAGGAUAUUCUUGAAGGAAUGAAGGUUUUAGUUUAACAUUUUGUUUUGAUCUCUGAAGUUCAUUCAGUGAUUGAGAAAGGAAUGUACGGAUUAGUUUGAGCAGGUUAUUUUGUUAGAUUAUUUGCUCAAUGGAUUUUGGUUUAUAUUAAAGGCUUGGGGCAUGUCCAUGCCCUUUUUGUAGCCAACAUUUAUUCUAACUUUUUUGGUGUGUCUAUUUGAAUUGCCAAGCUGUGAGUCAAAGCUGAUUUAUUAGGGAAUUGGUGUUUGCCACAUAGGUUUGUUUGCUGCCGCCGGAGUCCUGCAAAAUUGUUACUACUUGUUUACAGAACUGCAUUCUGCUUCUAACAUAUGGGUGAGACUAUAUUUAGGCAUUUUCAGUCUGGUGAAUUUGAUCCAUUGUUUUUCUACACUUGAGGUGGGAUUUAAUGUCAUGCUUGGGGUGCAACCUAUGGCUUGAUUUUAUAGGUUUUGUACGCUUCUGUGACUAUUUGUAUGUCUGAAGUACCUGCAUAAACUCUUAACUAAUUUUGACAUGUCAAUACUGUAUCUAAUAUGUAGUAUAGAAGAUGAAUUUCUUAUCUUUAAGAUGCAAGCCUAUAUGACUAUGAGGUUGUCAGUCUAGCAUUAGAAUCAAGAUAAAAUGUAGUAAAUCACAAUAAUAUAGGCUUGUGAUCCCCUACUUUUCUAUUUUGGUAGGGAACAUCAAGAUACUAAUUGACUUGUUGCCAAGUGGUACUUGUACAAAAAAAAAAAAAAACCAUCAUGUUUGCAGGAUUUGUGGUAUCUGAUUGUUUAGCAACUAACAUAAAGGAGGCUGGCGAGUAAGAUUCCUUCUUAAAAUGACCUGCACUAAAUUAGAUCAGUUGGAUCACUAGACAAAAUACCUCUGCCACAAUUGGAAGCAAUGGGAUCAUGUGAUCAACAACAAUCAUUUUAUAGUCUUAAUAGAGCAAACUAUAAAGUAGUCUAACAGGAUCCGCUGUAGCCCAAGUGUGGAAAAAAAAAAAACAUAAAAGCAGACUUUAACAAACUAAACCAACCUCAUAAAUUAAGGCAUCAAGCCUUGGAAAUUUUUAGAAAGCUAUACCACCUGUUCCAGCCAUUGUAACUACAAUUAGUUUUCUUGUAGUUUUUUUUUUUUUUUGUGUUGGGGGUGUUGUUUUGUGUGUUUAGCUUUUUUAUUAGUGUGCCUUCUCUGUACUUGAUUUGCUUGUGUUCCAUGUUGAUCUUUUUAGUCUUCAUUAUGGUUGUGGAAACAUAUGUAGUAUGAUCAUUACUACCUGUAUAAAUCCUCUGAUAAUUAUUAACUGUAAGUGUCCUUUACCUAUGGGGUUCCUACUGUCAAUUAUGUGCCAUGUAAAAACCUUGAUCAUGUUGAAAACAAUACCUGAUUAUGGUAAUUUCUAAUUGAAACUUCAAUACCACGAUCUUCUUGACACUUUGCAAAAACCCUUUAUAUUGAUUCCCAAUAGUAAUACCAGCAAUUAGCUGAAUAUUGUUUGCCUCUGAAUGGAAGAUUCUUGUUUUUUACAGUUAUUGUCAUUUGAGAAUUUUGUAUACUUCAUAAAACUUUUCAUCGUAGUUUUUAUUAUGUGAAACUUGGGUUUUAUUGAAGUUAUGGAGUGACCUUUUCGAAGUGGAUGGCAGUUGUGGAAUCCAAACCUGCUUGAUCAUGUUUUCACCAGGUUUGUGGUUUUCAAGUCAAUGUUUUUCUGGUGGUUAGAAUUUCAAUCUUAAAUAGUAGCUUUCUUUCUGGUUUUUGCUUUUAGUUUACCUUUAAGCUUGUAUGAAACGCUUAUGCACCAUAUUUCUAUUUAGUAGAUACUGGUGGUCAAAAAUUUGAAAUUGAUUAGGGUGCACGCCAUUGACAUCUAUUGAUUUUUAUUGUAUUGUUCUCUUUUUCUGAUUAGGUGUUUAUCUUGUAUACUUUCUGUUGCCAAUAUUAUCAAUAGAAUCUAUAUACUCGUAAAAAAAAUUUAUUAGAAAUUGAUUAGGAUUUAAAAACAUUUAUUUCUUUCGAUCAUUAAGUAUUUUAUAUAUUAGGUACUUCUGAAAAUAAAGUAUUUUAUAUAGUUAGAGAAGUCUAAACGUAGUUUGAUGCAUUAAAUAGCUUAGUUAUUUAAGGCCUCUUUUAGAAAAUGAAGCGUAAGAUGGUAAUAAACAACAAUCUACUUGUUUAUGGAUGGUUGGCUGCCUACAAACGUCUUCGUUUUUCAUGAUCGUGCUGGAAAUCUCCAAAGGUGGACAAGGCAUAGACUAGGGUAUCAAUAUGAGCAUAAUACUUGCACUAUAUACCAGCAUGGAGGUCAUAGGCAUCAGUGAGCAGCCAUACUAUGGAUACUUGUGCUAGAUAUAUAAUGCCGUUCCAGUGAUUACAAACUUGUUACAUUAUGAUGGAAUAGAUGUGGUCCUACAGAAAUCCUAAUGCUUUUACGGUGGAUAGAACAUUGUAGCUAACUUUUAGAUAAUACAAUAAAAAGCCUGUUGAUUUAACCCCGGAUGUCAAUUCCUUGGAUGUGAGGGUUUACUCUUUUUUUUUUUUAGUUGUUCAAAUGCUGGCAAUGCUUCUUAUUUAUUUUUUUUUUUUCCAUAAUAAUGAUGUUAACUCACCACAAGAUGUAUCUUGAAUCUGUAUUUGAUGACCCAAAUUAGGCUGUUUCAGUGGUACUUGGAAUUAAUUAUAGAGUCCAGCAAAUUCCUUUCGAUUAAUUAUCUCUAAUUCUUCUUAGUUCUGCAUAUAUGCUUGAUGGUGAAACCUGUUUCCUUUAUGAGCGUCUUGUAAGUUCUUUUCUGAAUGUUUUUGAUCAUAUGUUUGAAUCAAUUCCCAAAAAAACCGCGAAUUUACUUUCUCAUAACUCUGAAGAAGCUUGUUGAUUUUCAUAUUUGUCGACAUCAUAGUUUCCCACAAAAAAUUGUAUAUCAUUAAGAUCAAUGAUACAUCCAAAUUUUCAGAUGGGUAGGAUUCCAUCAAGGAUUGGGAUAGGGAGGGGCUAACUGUUGGGCUCCUAAAUUUUGGUGUUCUACAUGCUGUGCAAAGUAAAAGGGCUACAACUCGCAUAUGAAAUUACAUGUUGCCCGAACAAAUAAACAAGUAAAAAACUUGAGAUUACAUGAUAUAGGCUCCGAAGAUUCUCGUAUGGUUAGAGAGAUUUGCACAAACUUUAGCAAAAUAAACUAGAUUUCGUAAAAGAUUAACAUAUCUAAAUUGAUAUUAAGCUUAAGAUUCUACGGCAGCAUCAUACGGACUUAGCCUCCGUAAUUAAUGAUUUUAUCAUCAUGAUCAAUGUCCGCUAAAGCUGCGGUCCCUUUUGAAGCAAUACCCUCCUCUUUAUAAUGUCCUAGGAACAUUAAAGGAGAUGUUCUAGAGAGAAUUGUGUUGUAGCAUGUUGGGUUUUGUGCGACAUGAAAAAUAAUCCGCCCCCCCCCCCCC